rnacentral:lncRNA from 1 species
ACUGGUAUCUAUAUAGAGAUGUCUGAUUGGAGCACCGAGACUACCGAUGUGUUAGCACCUUGCAAGCUUCACUUCUCAAUUUUGGAUCUGAAUCCUCUUCUAGAACUUGAAGAAGAUGAAGGCUGCGCAAACUCUUUCGUGCAGAUCUGAUGAGAUCUGAAUUGGACCAUCAAGAAGAGAGGAAGAACCUUUCUUCUUCUCUUCUCUUCUCUCUCAUUUCUCUCUCUAACAUCUAUUCUAAUCAGAUUAUGGGGUGUAGAGGUGAAGAAAUGAGGAAGGGAGGCGUUAAGAAGACUUCUAGCAGCAAGAAGGGAGCACUAGAUCUCUCUCACGCACACCAUUUCACUCUUCUUUUAUUUUAUUGUAUAAAAUUAUUUUUCCACACCUCCUAAUGCCCUAAUAGAUCAAAUCUAAUCUGAUCAUGGGUGUUAUGAUCAAAAAGAAAGGAUAAAAUGCAUUGAGAUAGGAGAAGCA